GCAGGGUUUGGCGGCACAAGACUAUAGUCCCAGGUACUUCAGAGGCUGAGGAGGGAGGAUCGUUUCAGCUUAGGAGGUCUGGGCUGUAGUGCACUCUGCCAAACAGGUAUCCACACUAAGUUUGGCAUCAAUAUGGUGACCUCCCAGGGUCAGGGGACCACCAGGCUGCCUAAGGAGGGGUGAAAUGAUGGCCCAAAUCAAAAAACUCCUGUGCUGAUCAGUAGUGGCUACUGUACUCCAGUCUGGCCAACAUAGUGCGACCCCAUUUCC
rnacentral:SRP_RNA from 1 species